CUCUUAUUAAGAGUAGCUGAGGGACUGGCCCGAUGAAGCUCGGCAACCAGCAUUUGCGAAGGACGCAUUUGCACGGUGCUAAAUCCUACAAAACGAAUUCGUUUUGAAAGAUAAGAG
rnacentral:ncRNA from 2 species